CAGUCGCCGCGGGAAUACAGAGGGUGCAAGCGUUAAUCGGAAUUACUGGGCGUAAAGCGCGCGUAGGUGGUUUGUUAAGUUGGAUGUGAAAUCCCCGGGCUCAACCUGGGAACUGCAUCCAAAACUGGCAAGCUAGAGUAUGGUAGAGGGUGGUGGAAUUUCCUGUGUAGCGGUGAAAUGCGUAGAUAUAGGAAGGAACACAAGUGGCGAAGGCGACCACCUGGACUGAUACUGACACUGAGGUGCGAAAGCGUGGGGAGCAAACAGGAUUAGAUACCCCCGUAGUCCCUGUCUCUUAUAC
rnacentral:rRNA from 1 species